AAAAUCUUUUUUUCCUUCUUUUGGGGGGAGGGGAUUUGGGGGGGAAACAAAAACCUUUUGGGGGAAAAAACCCCAAGGGGUUUUUAUUAUCCCAAAAAAAAAAGGACACGGGGGGGGCCCUUUCGGGGGGCCAAAAGGUUUUUUAAAAGUAGGGGUUUUGGGCUUUACCCUUUUGAAGAAUAGGAUUUUGCGUUCCGGAUUAGUUUAGUUUGUUAGGGGUAAUUAGCCUUACCAAGGCCGGAGGUUGGGUAGCUGGUUUGGGGAGGGAUGAUCAGCCACACUUGGAAUUGAGAUACGGUCCAGGACUCCUUCCGGGAGGCAGCAGUGAGGAAUUUUGCACAAUGGCGGAAAGCCUGAUGCAGCAACACCGCGUGAUUGAUGAAGUUUUUAGGAAUGUAAAAAUCUGUCGUAAGGGAAGAAAUGUUUCGGAUGUUUAUACCAUCUGUUACUGACGGUACCUUACAGAAAAGGACCGGCUAACUUCGUGCCAGCAGCCGCGGUAAUACGAGGGGUCCUAGCGUUGUCCGGAUUUACUGGGCGUAAAGGGUACGUAGGCGUUUUAAUAAGUUAUAUGUUAAAUAUCUUAGCUUAACUAAGAAAGUGCAUAUAAAACUGUUAAAAUAGAGUUUGAGAGAGGAACGCAGAAUUCAUGGUGGAGCGGUGACAUGCGUAGAUAUCAUGAGGAAAGUCAAAUGCGAAGGCAGCCUUCUGGCUCAAAACUGACGCUGAGGUACGAAAGCGUGGGGAGCGAACAGGAUUAGAUACCCUGGUAGUCCACGCCGUAAACGAUGAGUAUUUGGUGCUGGGGGAUUCGACCCUUUCAGUGCCGUAGCUAACGCGAUAAAUACUCCGCCUGGGGACUACGAUCGCAAGAUUGAAACUCAAAGGAAUUGACGGGGACCCGCACAAGCGGUGGAACAUGUGGUUUAAUUCGAUGAUACGCGAAGAACCUUACCUGGGUUUGACAUGUCAGAGAAAGUUUUCCGAAAGGAAAUCCUUUUAAUAAUUUAUUAUUAAACUCUGUCACAGGUGAUGCAUGGCUGUCGUCAGCUCGUGUCGUGAGAUGUUAGGUUAAGUCCUGCAACGAGCGCAACCCCUAUAUUUAGUUGCCAGCACAUAAUGGUGGGGACUCUAAAUAGACUGCCCGGAAUAACCGGGAGGAAGGUGGGGAUGAUGUCAAGUCAGUAUGUCCCUUAUACCCAGGGCUACACACGUGUUACAAUGGAUGGUACAAAAAGUAGCAAUUCCGCGAGGAGGAGCCAAUCUUUAAAACUAUCCCCAGUUCAGAUUGAAGUCUGAAAUUCGACUUCAUGAAGCAGGAAUCGCUAGUAAUCGUAGGUCAGCACACUAUCUGUAAUCCCCG
rnacentral:rRNA from 1 species